rnacentral:rRNA from 1 species
GAUGAACGCUGGCGGCGUGCCUAAUACAUGCAAGUCGAGCGAACGGACGAGAAGCUUGCUUCUCUGAUGUUAGCGGCGGACGGGUGAGUAACACGUGGAUAACCUACCUAUAAGACUGGGAUCACUUCGGGAAACCGGAGCUAAUACCGGAUGAUAUUUUGAACCGCAUGGUUCAAAAGUGAAAGACGGUCUUGCUGUCACUUAUAGAUGGUUCCGCGCUGCAUUAGCUAGUUGGUAAGGUAACGGCUUACCAAGGCAACGAUGCAUAGCCGACCUGAGAGGGUGAUCGGCCACACUGGAACUGAGACACGGUCCAGACUCCUACGGGAGGCAGCAGUAGGGAAUCUUCCGCAAUGGGCGAAAGCCUGACGGAGCAACGCCGCGUGAGUGAUGAAGGUCUUCGGAUCGUAAAACUCUGUUAUUAGGGAAGAACAUAUGUGUAAGUAACUGUGCACAUCUUGACGGUACCUAAUCAGAAAGCCACGGCUAACUACGUG